AAUCAAAGGCAGAGCUUCUGCGUACUGCGAUGGGCUAAAAUCAGACUCGCUAACAAGAUUGCUUUCUGCAAGAGCAUCCUGAGGUUUUCUAAUAACAGGAAGCGGCGGCAGCCGCUGCUCUGCCUGCCCUCGGGUCCGGCGGCGCGCUUGCCGGGUGUGGCUGCCUCCCGUUUCGAGGAACACCAGUGUCACGCGGGGCCCCGUGCUCAGCUCGGUCCCUGUGCCGCGCGCUGCUGCCUGAGCCCGGCACCUAGCUGCUUCCCUCCGCUCGGUCCCRUCCGGCCAGCCGAAGGGAUCCAAGGCAGCCGCUGCGCAGAGAAGGAAAUCCAGGGGCACGGCUGCAGCGGGGAAGGUAAUGCGUGUGGGUAGGUGGGGCA
ensembl:lncRNA